UACGUAGGGUGCGAGCGUUAAUCGGAAUUACUGGGCGUAAAGCGUGCGCAGGCGGUUUUGUAAGCCAGGUGUGAAAUCCCCGGGCUCAACCUGGAAAUGGCAUUUGGGACUGCAAGGCUGGAGUGCGGCAGAGGAGACGUGGAAUUCCUGGUGUAGCAGUGAAAUGCGUAGAUAUCAGGAGGAAUACGAUGGCGAAGGCCAGGUCUCGUGG
rnacentral:rRNA from 1 species